rnacentral:lncRNA from 1 species
AGGGAAUGCAGCCACAGGUGCCACUGAGUCCUUAUAUGGUUGAGUAGGAAAUAGCUUAAGAGUGACAAGGCUUUUCCAGGCUGAGGGAAUUGACUGCCUGUUCAGGGUGUGAAUUGGAUGCAUUCAGGGCAACAGCAAGUAGAUCAAUGGCUGAGGCUUGGGUGAGAGUUAAGGCAGGAUAUGGCCGUCCCUGCUAGACCUCCCAGCCCUCUCUGUCUAUUCCUCUGGCACCUAACCCCUUACGCGUUUGAUCCAUGUUAUU